rnacentral:rRNA from 1 species
AGAGUUUGAUCAUGGCUCAGAUUGAACGCUGGCGGAAUGCUUUACACAUGCAAGUCGAACGGCAGCACGGGGCAACCUGGUGGCGAGUGGCGAACGGGUGAGUAAUACAUCGGAACGUGCCCAAUCGUGGGGAUAACGUAGCGAAAGUUACGCUAAUACCGCAUACGAUCUACGGAUGAAAGCGGGGGAUCGCAAGACCUCGCGCGAAUGGAGCGGCCGAUGUCAGGUUAGGUAGUUGGUGGGGUAAAGGCUCACCAAGCCAACGAUCUGUAGCUGGUCUGAGAGGACGACCAGCCACACUGGAACUGAGACACGGUCCAGACUCCUACGGGAGGCAGCAGUGGGGAAUUUUGGACAAUGGGCGCAAGCCUGAUCCAGCCAUUCCGCGUGCAGGAUGAAGGCCUUCGGGUUGUAAACUGCUUUGUACGGAACGAAACGGUCUGCCCUAAUACGGUGGGCUAAUGACGGUACCGUAAGAAUAAGCACCGGCUAACUACGUG